GGCGGGUCGAUAGGCGGAAAUACAACACCUGCGGGGAAUACCGCCAGCCGUCUGUUACGGUAGUUGAGACCCGCCGCCCUCUU
rnacentral:ncRNA from 1 species